AGUACUUUUUAUCAACAACUUGGCUGGUAAAUAAGUAAGUAUGCGUGAUCACAUGUUUAGCUUUGUAAAAAUUAAUUCCUAGACCUUUGGUAUUGAAGAUGUCUGGGGAAGAUUACUGCUGGUCUCCACCAGCCAAAUGUGCUCCUCUCGUUGCCUUCUUGAGCCAUUUUCUCGACGCACCCGCCAAAUUAGAAACACCAAUACCACGAUUAGGAAGCAGAAUAUUACUAUAACCAAGCUGAAAACAUACGCUUGGGGUGCUAAAAUAAGGAAACUUCCUAGCCCACAAUGCGUCCUGGCAAAUGUUCUGGUUCUCGCCUUUCAGUCUGUGCUCCGCCGGGCAGUCGUAGUAGAUACGGGUGCCAUUGGCUACCCUUGAUCCUACAGUGAGGAUUGCAUCUGUGAAGUGCUUAACCAUAACGUUUGGCAGUUGGGGAACCACGCACUCCCCGUUCUCCUGAAGAGGAUUUGGUCGUGACGCCUUCCUUGUUACAGGAACAGUGGGAGUUAUCCUAUGGAUACUACUUUCCGUAGUUGUACUUGUCGUUGAACUGACUGUAGUCGUUGGUAUGGUAACGCCCUCGCAAAGGGACUCCAGCUCAUCGUCUCCAUCUCGGCAGUCACGGAUGCCAUCACACAAUUUGGAAUAGGUCAUGCAUUGGCCAGAGGAGCAGUACAUUUCCCAGUUGUCGCAGUUAGCCUGCUGCAUCUGCGCCCGGCACAGCCAACCCUGCUCAUCCGAACCAUCCACGCAGUCCUGGACGCCAUCGCAAACCGCUGUGCUGGCUAUGCACGCACCGUAGCUGCAGCGAAAUGCAUAACCCGGACACCAGACCUUCUCACACAUGGCGACCGUCUCAUCGGAACCAUCCAAGCAGUUGGCGCUCCCAUCGCACAGCUGGUCCAGUUGGAUACAGUCGCCUCCUCCACAGCGAUGCCCGCAGCUUGUGGCAUUUUGGGAUCCCAAGCAAAUGGUGACGGCUAAGGAGAGAAAAAUCACCAGCUGAAUUGAGAGAUUCUGAUGCGCUCCGAACAUUCUAAAUGGGUUCCAAUCGACAGACUGACGGUUCCAUGGCGCAGUUAAGGGUAUUAUUACGAGAGUUGUCCAAACCAGUUUGAUGAUGAUACGGCUCUAGCUGUGCACAAUUAUCAGUCAUGGGGUUUUCUGAGCGGCAGUC
ensembl:ncRNA asRNA:CR44367 antisense RNA:CR44367